AUGAACGCUGGCGGCGUGCCUAAUACAUGCAAGUCGCGCGAACGGACGAGAAGCUUGCUUUUCUGAUGUUAGCGGCGGACGGGUGAGUAACACGUGGAUAACCUCCCUAUAAGACUGGGAUAACUUCGGGAAACCGGAGCUAAUACCGGAUAAUAUUUUGAACCGCAUGGUUCAAAAGUAAAAGACGGUCUUGCUGUCACUUAUAGAUGGAUCCGUGCUGCUUUAGCUAGUUGGUAAGGUAACGUCUUACCAAGGAAACGAUGCAUAGCCGACCUGAGAGGGUGAUCGGCCACACUGGAAGUGGAACACGGUCCAGACUCCUACGGGAGGCAGCAGUAGGGAAUCUUCCGCAAUGGGCGAAAGCCUGACGAAGCAACGCCGCGUGAGUGAUGAAGGUCUUCGGAUCGUAAAACUCUGUUAUUGGGGAAGAACAGAUGUGUAAGUAACUGUGCACAUCUUGACGGUACCUAAUCAGAAAGCCACGGCUAACUACGUG
rnacentral:rRNA from 1 species